rnacentral:rRNA from 1 species
UACAGAGGGUGCAAGCGUUACUCGGAAUUACUGGGCGUAAAGCGCGCGUAGGCCGUCGAGUAAGUCGGAUGUGAAAUCCUCGAGCUUAACUUGGGAAUUGCAUUCGAUACUGCUUGACUAGAGUGUGGAAGAGGGAAGCGGAAUUUGCUGUGUAGCGGUGAAAUGCGUAGAUAUCGGAAGGAACACCAGUGGCGAAGGCGGCUUUCUGGUCUAACACUGACGCUGAGGAACGAAAGCGUGGGGAGCGAACAGG